rnacentral:lncRNA from 1 species
GUUGUUCGGCCGAAGGCCUUCCAAUCACACAGAAGAUCCUGGUUCGGUCACACGAACGGUCACUUCCAUUGGUAUUAGUCACUGGAAUAUUUAGGAGCACCAGUUGUAGUUUCUCAGAGUGGAGAAUUGAAACUGGCAGACUUUGGUUUGGCAAGGGCUUUUGGUAUUCCAGUUAGAUUUUAUUCAGCAAAGUUAGUAACACUGAGGUACAGACCCCCAGAUGUGCUGUUUGGAGCCAAGAUGUAUUCUACUCAUAUAGAUAUGUGGUCUGCAGGCUGUAUAUUUGCUGAGAUUAUUGGUGUGCAAUUGGCAGACUAUCAGCAGAGGAAGGAUUACAGCAUGGAUAUUUCAGUGAUCUUAGUCCAUCAAUCAAGUUUCCUACUGAUCCUUUCUGAGUGAACAUUCCAAACUCCAAGGACAAAGCCAUGAUCUUAGUUGUUGUAAAUUGUGGUUUUAUAUUGUGCCAGUCAUUUUCAAAUCUACUGUCAGAGGUAGAAACACCUAUUCUUACCAGUUUCUUAAAGUCAUCUGAAAGCAUGUACCAUCAUGUGAAUCUAGGAGGACCAAGUUUGUUGAUACACUAACAGUAUGGUAGAGGUAUAUAGGCUACAGAAUGGUAAUGAUAUGGUGAGGCUUAUAAAAGAACUUGAAGUGUAGCAGCAGAUAAUGAGAUUCCACAACUGGAUAUGGGUUUGCUGAUGCUGAAGAAUUUUACGACUUUUCAAAAUUUACUUUCAAUUUUUCUGGAUUAUAGUAUUAUUGUAUUAGAAGCAUUCCAUUGAAUAGAGAGGGAAGUAAAAUCAUUUAAGGUGAAGAAGGUGUAAUUCAGCAACGUCUGGUGGAACGCCAAACGUUACGCUUCGCAAUGUCACGUCAUUACGCUUUAUUAAGAAAUAAAAUGGCGUCAGGCGAUGCGGGAGGGCGAUACACCAUACGUUUCUUUUUUUUUAGCUCACCUGUCACAUAGUGACAAGGUGAGCUUUUGUGAUCACCCUAGUCCGUCGUGUGUCCGUCCGUCCGUGCGUCCGUCAACAAUUCCUC